UACAGAGGGGCCAGCGUUAUUCGGAAUUAUUGGGCGUAAAGGGCGCGUAGGCGGCCAUGCGUGUCUUCCGUGAAAUCCCUCGGCUCAACCAAGGAAGUGCAUCCGAAACUGCUGAGCUUGAGUACUUAAGAGGAUCGCGGAAUUCCCGGUGUAGCGGUGAAAUGCGCAGAUAUCAGGAGGAACACCGGUGGCGAAGGCGGGUCUCUGGGCAAUAACUGACGCUGAGGAGCGAAAGCGUGGGGAGCGAACAGG
rnacentral:rRNA from 1 species